rnacentral:lncRNA from 1 species
ACAGAUGGGUUUACGAGAGCUGCUGGGGCGAACUGUGAGAUGCUCCCUGCCCUCACACGUGUUGCGUGAACCUGUGACACUACAGAACAUACACUCCGCGAUGUGGCACUGACUUGCUGAUCUGUAUGUAAGCUGAAUGCAGACAUGGGUCCUCCUGGGGUCCAAAGACUGAAAUCGUGGCUGCUGGCAGGAAUCCCAGGACGUGCUUACUCGUCAUGCCUUUCCAGUUUCCCUGCCUCAACUGGCGGGAAGGCCUUUUGAGGAUGAGAAUUCUACUUUAAAUUUAUUCAAAUGUAAAUUCUUUUGUAUAAACAGC